rnacentral:rRNA from 1 species
AUUGAACGCUGGCGGCAUGCCUUACACAUGCAAGUCGAACGGUAACAGGUCUUCGGAUGCUGACGAGUGGCGGACGGGUGCGUAAUACAUCGGAACGUGCCCGAUCGUGGGGGAUAACGAGGCGAAAGCUUUGCUAAUACCGCAUACGAUCUACGGCUGAAAGCGGGGGAUCUUCGGACCUCGCGCGGCCGGAGCGGCCGAUGGCAGAUUAGGUAGUUGGUGGGAUAAAAGCUUACCAAGCCGACGAUCUGUAGCUGGUCUGAGAGGAUGAUCAGCCACACUGGGACUGAGACACGGCCCAGACUCCUACGGGAGGCAGCAGUGGGGAAUUUUGGACAAUGGGCGAAAGCCUGAUCCGGCCAUGCCGCGUGCAGGAUGAAGGCCUUCGGGUUGUAAACUGCUUUUGUACGGAACGAAAAGCCUCUUUCUAAUAAAGAGGGGUCAUGACGGUACCGUAAGAAUAAGCACCGGCUAACUACGUG